rnacentral:rRNA from 1 species
GGGUCAGUAGGUUGGUCGUGCCACCGGUACGUACUGGUCCCACUGAUUCCUCCUUCCUGAAGAACCGUAAUGCCAUUAAUCUGGUGUUGCGGGGAAACAGGACUGUUACUUUGAAAAAAUUAGAGUGUUCAAAGCAAGCUAACGCUUGAAUACAUUAGCAUGGAAUAAUGAAAUAGGACGAUCGAUCCUAUUUUGUUGGUUUCUAGGAUUGACGUA